AACCGGGCUUCGGCCCGGGGAUCAGUGGCGAACGGGUGCGUAACACGUGGGCAACCUGCCCCCGACCCUGGGAUAACCCCGGGAAACCGGAGCUAAUACCGGAUACUCUCCUCCGACCACAUGGUCAGAAGAGGAAAGGUCCGCCGGUCGGGGAUGGGCCCGCGGCCUAUCAGCUUGUUGGUGGGGUAACGGCCUACCAAGGCGACGACGGGUAGCUGGUCUGAGAGGACGACCAGCCACACUGGGACUGAGACACGGCCCAGACUCCUACGGGAGGCAGCAGUGGGGAAUCUUGCGCAAUGGGCGAAAGCCUGACGCAGCGACACCGCGUGGGGGACGAAGGCCUUUCAGG
rnacentral:rRNA from 1 species